UAUCCAUUUCUUAAUGACCACAGCUAAUCUGGUUAUGAGACCCUGCUGGAGUGUCUUAGGAAUAAGUUCAAAAAGGAAAGGUCUCCUUUGAUAAACCUGACGACGGUGCAGGAGAUUAAGAGAAAGUUUGGUGUCAGAAGACAAAGAAUUGUGGACCAUGUGCCUCUGGAGGACCCACUUGGACAUCAGAGAGCAAAAAAGUACAGAGUGGAG